AGCACCUCAAGUGGUCAGGAUGAUUAUUGGGCCUAAAGCAUCCGUAGCUCGUUUUGUAAGUUUUCGGUUAAAUCCAUGCGCUUAACGUAUGGGCUGCCGGGAAUACUACAUAACUAGGAAGUGGGAGAGGUAGACGGUACUCGGUAGGAAGGGGUAAAAUCCUUUGAUCUAUUGAUGACCACCUGUGGCGAAGGCGGUCUACCAGAACACGUUCGACGGUGAGGGAUGAAAGCUGGGGGAGCAAACC
rnacentral:rRNA from 1 species